UUGAAGACGAGGUACGUAAAGUUUCAGAAAGACUGGCCCUUAUUUGGUGUCACGUUGAUGUGUGAUUCAUGGACUGGCCCGACGAGGAUGAGUGUCAUCAACUUUUUGAUAUAUUACAAUGGGGCCAUGUGGUUCCAUAAGUCUAUUGAUGCGAGUGGAAGAACUCAAGAUGCUGCAUAUUUGUUCAAGGAGAUUCGAAAGGUGGUGGAAGAGAUUGGACCGGAGAAUGCCGUGCACGUAGUCACCGACAACAGCUCAAACUACAA